AUUUAGUAAAAGCUUACCCUGUAUAUGGACCCAUGCAUGGAUAGGACAUGCUAUCUGCUUUCUCAUGAGGAGCAGAGGCACAGGUAACUUUGAGGCAGGGAGGUUGUGGUUAUGCAAAGAAAGAUGAUAAAGAAGAAAUGGGAGAGCUAGAAGACAAACAGCCAUACGUGUCCCCAGAUAGCAGAUGACUGGUAGGAAGAUGAGGCAAGUUUGCGGUCCAUUGUCAUGGAUAGUGGAGACAACACUGGGCCAGAAGUGGUAAGACCUGAAUCCAAGACUCAGCUCUGCCACUUGCUAAAUGGGACUUUGAAUAAACCAUUUCUCUGCACUUAAGUUCCUUACCAACAAAACGAGGGAAGUGGCCUACAUGCCUAGAUAUCAACAUUUCAUGUCACGUAGAGAUCUAGCAUCACAAGAAUCCAAGUCAUCCUCUGUUGCCUUUAAGAAAUUAGAAUUAAAGGAAUCAGAAUUGAAGUGAAUCUGACUACACUAAGCCUAUCACUUGUGACAGCCAUGGGAAGAUAUCAUUGGUUGCUGAGGAGCAGAAAUAAGCAGAGACCUAUUGUGUUAGGUUAUCAUUCAUUUCAGACAAAAAGCAGAUCAGCAAGUUUUCAUAUUGCACUAUUUUCAAUGGCUGGAGCAUCAACAUUUUACAACAAGAAAAAAAUUAAAAUUCUUCAACAUUUGGAAAAGAAGUGUUUGUAAAACUUUUCACAUCCAUUCACCAUCCGGAAAAGCAAGGUUUUACAGUGAGGCCUGAUGAUGUCUAGAGUCACCAUGCAUCUUGGAAAAUGACCUCCUAUUUAUUUCUUCUACAGGACACCAUGGUGUUCACCUUUCUACAACUUUACACUUGCUGAGGACAUAUUGUGGAAAAUUAAGAGAAAUAUAUAUGGAUGGCCAAGGCUGUAGAUGGAUGUCCAAGCCUUUUUACUGGGGAAUGUUUUCAGAACAAAAUGAGUUACAGGUUCAAGAGUGAAACCCAACAAAUCUUGGCUCUUUUUUUCUCUACUAAAUUCCAAAUCAAAA
ensembl:lncRNA LINC02207 long intergenic non-protein coding RNA 2207